AGGACGAACGCUGGCGGCGUGCUUAACACAUGCAAGUCGAACGGGCAUCUUCGGAUGUUAGUGGCGAACGGGUGAGUAACACGUGGGCAACCUGCCCCUAGCUCUGGGAUAACUCCGGGAAACCGGGGCUAAUACUGGAUAUGAUCUGCUCCUGCAUGGGGGUGGGUGGAAAGUUUUUCGGCUAGGGAUGGGCCCGCGGCCUAUCAGCUUGUUGGUGGGGUGAUGGCCUACCAAGGCGACGACGGGUAGCCGGCCUGAGAGGGCGACCGGCCACACUGGGACUGAGACACGGCCCAGACUCCUACGGGAGGCAGCAGUGGGGAAUAUUGCGCAAUGGGCGGAAGCCUGACGCAGCGACGCCGCGUGGGGGAUGACGGCCUUCGGGUUGUAAACCUCUUUCAGCAGGGACGAAGCGUGAGUGACGGUACCUGCAGAAGAAGCACCGGCCAACUACGUGCCAGCAGCCGC
rnacentral:rRNA from 1 species